rnacentral:misc_RNA from 1 species
GAAAUGCGAUAAGUAAUGUGAAUUGCAGAAUUCAGUGAAUCAUCGAAUCUUUGAACGCACAUUGCGCCCGCCAGUAUUCUGGCGGGCAUGCCUGUCCGAGCGUCAUUUCAACCAUCAAGCCCCCGGGCUUGUGUUGGGGACCUGCGGCUGCCCGCAGGCCCUGAAAACCAGUGGCGGGCUCGCUGUCACACCGAGCGUAGUAGCAAUCACCUCGCUCAGGGCGUGCUGCGGGUUCCGGCCGUUAAACAGCCUUACAAGACCCAAGGUUGACCUCGGAUCAGGUAGGAAGACCCGCUGAACUUAAGC